rnacentral:rRNA from 1 species
CGGGUGAGUAACACGUGGGCAAUCUGGCCUUCACUCUGGGACAAGCCCUGGAAACGGGGUCUAAUACCGGAUACGAGGUUCGGAGGCACUUCGAAUCUGGAAAGCUCCGGCGGUGAAGGAUGAGCCCGCGGCCUAUCAUCUUGUUGGUGAGGUAGUGGCUCACCAAGGCGACGACAGGUAGCCGGCCUGAGAGGGCGACCGGCCACACUGGGACUGAGACACGGCCCACACUCCUACGGGAGGCAGCAGUGGGGGAUAUUGCACAAUGGGCGAAAGCCUGAUGCACCGACGCCGCGUGAGGGAUGACGGCCUUCGGGUUGUAAACCUCUUUCAGCAGGGAAGAAACGAAAGUGACGGUACCUGCAGAAGAAGCGCCGGCUAACUACAUGCCAGCAGCCGCGGUAAUACGUAGGGCGCAAGCGUUGUCCGGAAUUAUUGGGCGUAAAGAGCUCGUA